CUACAGGUAUGAUCAUUUUGUUGUUAUGUCUGCUGCUGGGUUUUAGGGUUUCAGUGAGACAGUCCCCCCGCGGCCCGGCCUGAUGGAAAACCCCAGAGAUCUGGCGGAGCGUCCCUGCAGGAAACGGCGCGACUCAUUCGGGAUGCUGGACGGUUUCGAGGAGGACCGGAGCAGCUGCAGCACCGAGUCCAGCGGGGGGAGUGGCGCCUCCAGCCCGGAAGACAGUGACGAGGAGGAGCUGGGGGGAGGAGGGGGGCCUCACUACAACCCCUCCUCCUCCCUGACUCUCAUCAAGACCAACGGGCAGGUGUACACAUACCCCGACGGAAAGGCCGGCAUGGCGACCUGUGAGAUGUGUGGCAUGGUGGGCGUCAGAGAUGCUUUCUACAGUAAAACCAAACGUUUCUGCAGCGUCUCCUGCUCCAGGAGUUACUCGUCCAACUCCAAGAAGGCCAGCAUCCUCGCAAGACUGCAGGGGAAGCCGCCCACUAAGAAGGCCAAAGUUCUGCAGAAACAGCCUCUAAUGACAAAACUAGCUGCGUACGCUCAGCAUCAGGCCAACCAGCAGGGUGGCUUCAAGAAGAGCGUAACUGUGGAGAUGUUCGACUGGGGUCGUUACUUAGAAGACGCUGUUGCCACGGGAGCGCCUGUCGACUGCUUUAAACACGUCCCUAUGGGGAAGUCAUGGGGCGACAUCAGUGAAGGCGUCCGGGUCGAGGUCACAAACACAGACAGCGGUCUGCCCAUGAAGGUCUACUGGAUCGCUGGCAUCAUCAAACUAGCUGGUUUUAAAGCAUUGAUGCGCUACGAGGGCUUCGACGGCGACUCCACCCGAGACUUCUGGCUGAACCUGUGUGUGCCGGACAUCCACCCGGUGGGCUGGUGUGCUGCUGGAGGGAAACCCCUGGUCCCCCCUCAGACUAUCCUGCACAGGAUCACAAACUGGAAGACCUUCCUCAUCAAAAGACUGACGGGGUCCAAAACGCUGCCCCAGGACUUUCCUUCCAAGGUGCAGGACAGUCUGCGGGUUCCCUUUAAGAAGCAGAUGAGGGUAGAGGUGGUGGAUAAAACUCACCUGUGUCGGACUCGUGUGGCUCUGGUUGAACAGGUGAUCGGGGGUCGCCUCCGCCUCGUGUACGAGGAGUGUGACGACGGUUCCGAUGACUUCUGGUGUCACAUGUACAGUCCUCUGAUCCACAGCAUCGGCUGGUCGCGCUCCAUCGGACACAGAUUCAAACGAUCCGAUGUGUCGAAGAAGCUGAGUGCUCAGUUGGACGCUCCUGGACGGCUCUUUGCUAAGGUGAAGGAGGUGGAUCAGAGCGGCUCCUGGUUUGAAGACGGGAUGAAACUAGAAGCCAUCGACCCUCUGAACCUGUCCGCCAUCUGCGUGGCCACAGUGAGGAAGGUGCUGGCAGAUGGGUAUCUGAUGAUCGGUAUCGACGGCUCGGAGGCGGCUGACGGGUCGGACUGGUUUUGUUAUCACUCCAUGUCUCCCUCCAUCUUCCCCGCUGGGUUCUGUGAGAUCAACAACAUCGAGCUGACGCCCCCCAGAGGUUACAGCAAUCUUCCCUUCAGAUGGUUUGAGUAUCUGAAGGAGAGCAAGUCUUUGGCGGCUCCGGUCAACCUCUUCAACAAGGAAGUCCCUAACCACGGUUUCUGUCCCGGCAUGAAGCUGGAGGCUGUGGACCUCAUGGAGCCACGGCUUGUCUGCGUAGCCACGGUGACCCGCAUUGUCCACCGGUUGCUGCGGAUACACUUUGAUGGUUGGGAGGACGAGUAUGAUCAGUGGGUGGACUGCGAGUCACCUGACCUCUACCCGGUGGGGUGGUGUCAGCUGACCGGAUAUCAGCUGCAGCCGCCUGCUGUCAAUGCGGGCUCCAGAGAACUACAGUCAGCGUCCAAACAGAGGAAGAAGUCUCAGCAGUAUAAGGGACAGAAGAAAAGAGAAUCCUUUCAAAAAAUGAAAGGAAGUUGCCUAUUGCAAAGCGACCAGUCAGCUUCUCUGGCACUGUCGUAACGGGCCUCUCCAGGAGCAUAUCUGGAGACGAGAACGAGACACCACCAAAUUACCUAUCACCCCCCACUCCUGCAGUCCCGCCCGCCUCAGUUGACCUGGAGAGCAGCCCCAACACUGAUGGGGGGGCAGGUUCACAGAUUAAAGUGGAAAACUUGGAAGGAAGUGAGUUUUAUUCUGAAAGGACUGAAACCGAAACCAAUGGAUCUUCUGCAGGAUUCUUCACCAACAUGAAGCAGUAACUCAUCCCUGUCUGUUUCAUCUCUCCAUUGAUUUUUUGAGUUUCAAUACUCAUCAAACUUAUCUACUGUGAUUAAAUCAGAUCAUUUUUUGGACACUUUGAACAGGCUAAAUAAGCUACAUGAUGCACUUCGCUUCGGCCAAAACUCUUUUUUUUUAAGCUUUUGUUUCAAAAUUUUAAACAAACGUUACUUCACUUUUUUUCUCAGUUUUAUGUCAAGUCCUUCUCUUUUCGCCCGGUCAAACCAGAAAGUGGCUUAAAGUCUUGGUUGCUAGCUUGGUGAGGUAGUUGGGUUGAUAUCUACAUUUAGGACAAUCAGGUCUUAAUGUCUUGUGAGGUGUAGUUUCUAGGGCGAGUUUACAUUCUCCCAUUUUAAACGUACACUUGGUGGAUAUUUAAUAAACCAGUUAAACAUUUUUUACAGUAUCUCAAACUGAGUACUUUAAAUAACACAAAAAAUACAUUAUUUUCAUAAAACCUCAAUUGAAUUACUAGGAUCCUAUUUUACAAUGAUUCAAUUGUAAGUAAAUAAAAAUAUAGAAACUACUGACAACUUUUAAAAAACAAAUGUGCAAACAAGGUGAGGAGUAGUACGAGGAAUUAAGAAAUACAUUUUGGGUUAUUAAAAAAUAAAUAUAUAAAUACUAAAUUAGGGAAUAUUAAUAUAACAGCUAAAUAUAAAUGGUCUUUAAUUGCAAAAUUACUAUUUACGGAUGUAUGCUAAUUGUUGUCAUGCUAGCUAGCUUGGAAUGUACUUUUGCUGACCAGACAAAAUAGCUCAGCAAGCUAACUGGUUGCUAACUGCCAGUUAGGAAGCUGCUAUAUUGGUGCACCCACUGUCGUCAGAAGAAGGCUUUUUUUCCAGCAUGUUUGCAGGAAACAUGUUAGCCAGCUACAAUUGCACACUAAGCUAGCACGCAACUAACUGUUUUAUACCAGCCAAAUGUUUGACUGUCUCAAACUGUUGUAUUAACACUAUUUUAUUAUUCUUAUCUUGCAAAAAUCUGUAUUAUAAGAGCUGCAGUGUUUUUACUGGAAUCAUAGUAACCAGCCAAAAUAGCAUGCCAAGCUAACACAUUACUUACUUACUGCCAGUGAAGAACUUACUAUCAGCCGCUAGCCGGACAAAAUGUUCAUGUUAAACUACAUCUCAGCACAAUGACUUAAUUGUGUAUUUCGCUAUUUAAAGUCUAUUUAAUCGUUUUUUAGAACUACAGUAGCACUAACCAUCCACAAAAGACCACCAGCUAGCUAGCAUAUCAACAGCCAAUUACAAAGCUAGCUAGCUUGGUUGCUUACAAGAUAUUAAAGAGAUAAUGUUUUUAUUUGGUUUUGUAAAUGAGCAAAUUAAUAUAACUAGUUUUUAAAGAAAUAGAUUGUCAGCUGAAAUUUUCGCAUCAUUAUUUCUGGUCUGACCGGGCCCUUAAUUCCUGCCACCAUUUGCUGAUUUCUUAGCCAUGUGAGGAAAAGGGGCUGUUAGAACUUUCACUACAUGCUCUUAAAGACUUUUCUGACUGAGGAAAGAAAACAAGUUUAGAUAAUGAAGCUGAUGAUGAUGCACAGCUACAUCCAGGACAGUGUUACUCAUCUUUGGUUCCUCUGUGAAAAUAUAACAUAUCAACGGAGGAAAAACAUAACAGAACUUUUUUAUGAAGAUUUUUUACAACACCAGGAUUUGUUAGGUGUUUUUGUUGUGUGUUUAAGGGUCAAAACUCUUGACGUAAUAAUAAUACUGGAUGCUGUGUAAUGUCAUGUUGAGAUUAGCAGUCAUUUAAAAGUGUGUGUGUGUGUGUGUGUGUGUGUGUGUGUGUGUGUGUGUGUGUGUGUGUGUGUGUGUGUGUGUGUGUGUGUGUGUGUGUGUGUGUGUGUGUGUGUGUGUGUGUGUGUGUGUGUGUGUGUGUGUGUGUGUGUGUGUGUGUGUGUGUGUGUGUGUGUGUGUGUGUGUGUGCGUGCGUGCGCUUUGGUUUGGAACAAGUUGUCAGGAUGCCAUUAAGCAAGAAACCAGCCAACAACAGAUACUCCUUUUAUUUGUUUUGCUGCUGAACACUGCUGAAAGUUUGCAGGGUAACAAAAGAAUUCUCAGCAGGCCAGAUAAUCUAUAGCUCCAGUUAUUUGUAUAUUGUUUCUGUGUGUUCAGAAUCAAUUAAAUGAAAAAAUCUUCUCUAAGAAUAUAUUCUUCAGUUCAGUCACAGCCACAGGGCUCUGCCACAGAAGCUGCAAUAACUAAACGUCCAAACGAUUGCAAUAACAGAUCAAUGUCCGUCUGAGUAUCGCAGUUUUUGAUACUGGUGCCAAUUCGAUGUUUUAAUUUCAGCACAAAUGCUUUAUUAUUGGAUAUCUUGGCAUUUGUCCUCAAUUACUUUUCAAAUGCAUCCGAGGCAUAGUCUUUUAUCUCAGAAUAAAAAUCCUGUUUGAUCAGAUCCCCAAAAAAAUCACAUGUGGUCCAUCCAAGGAGUUAUCUAUUUAAAGCAUUAGUAAACCAAAAGGGAACUCUGAGAGUGUAUGCUGUUUAGGAAAGCCAGAAAAAUAGUUUGUGUAUCGACGUUGUCAUCUGAAGUUUCAAAAGAAGCUGAGAAACCAACAAACUGAAAAAAAAAUAACAAGACCGGGCAUUUAGUACUACACUUCAGACCUAAUUAUUUGUCUUGUUUUAUAUAAAAAAUGAUAUAUAAAUCAGCAUUCUGGCAGCUUUUUGAGUUUAUAAAAAGCUAUCUAAUUCAAUGAAGGCAUACAAAAUGAAUCAAAAUAUAUAUUUAAUCAAUUCUGAAAUAAUGAAGCUGUUAUAUGUAAAAAUUAAAAAAUCAUAUACAUGUGUCAAUAGUUAAAUGAAUAUUAACUAUAACUAAUGUUAAUAACUGAAUGUUAGAAACACUGCUUGUAAGCUUAGUAAUCUUCCUUUGGUUCUUCCCUUGUUUUGUUUAAAAAAGCAAAAAUACAACUUAAAGUAGCACUGGGAUGAUCCCAGGGUCACCUGAUUUCAACCAUAUGAAUGUGAAGGAAUCUGAUGAAAACAGGAAAUGUCAGACUCCAUAAAUAACAACUGUGUUCGACAUCUAAAGGAGUGAAUGUUUUCUGAAGCUAACUAUUGAUACCUCACAAAAAAUGUAGAAGUAAGGAUUAAUUGGAUCUUGGAACAAAAUUGUAUAAUAUGGUAUACAGAGGAUAUUUCAAAAACAUAGAAGAGUAUUUUUUAUUUAACAUAAAUUCUACUAAAGAUUGAUAUUUUAAAAAAACAUACAAAAUAAGUAUUUAAAAUAUAAGCUACAGGUAAACAAAGAACAAUAAUAAAUACAUACGUUAAAUUUAACACUAAACAAGAUCAUUAAAAUAUUUUAAUUGAAGUAUUAAUACUUUUUAGAGAUGCUCAGUUUGUUGUGAUGAAAACGCCUUGGUGUGAAAGGACAACAUAAAGACAAAAGAUGCCUUUUAAAACUUUAUUGGAUAAAAUAUUUGUGACAUUUGUUUGUCUUUGUUAAGUGUCAGUUUUGUAUACACUUGUCUAUGUAAGUGCGAUUGUAGAUUUGGUAAAAUUGCAGUGAGUUUAAAUAAUGAAUCAUUUGGAAUGUGACUAAUGUAUUCCCUAGUUUGUGUGUAUUUGAUCACCCAGGACUCCUAGAAAUAAGGUUUUCAGAAAAGAA